AGGACAUGGAAUUGAAGAUGCUGGACAGUAGGCAGAUUUUGACCCACAGAGUUGAUAAAACAUGUGAUUUGUGUAUACAGAAACGCUCUUUAUGUUUUUAAAGGAACAACAUGGAUUCAUCAUAUUCAGGAUCAUGUCCAUAUUUUCAUAUAGGAAUCAGGGCAACACAUGUGGUAUGCUUUUAAUCAUCAAUCAAAGCCAAUGCAAGAAUUUUGUUGAUGAUUGCAUGCUCUGAUAGACAUGAGGAAACUCCUGAUGAGUAAAUGAAAGGUCCAACCAGAUCAUAUUGGCUGGCGUACUAUGGUGGCUCAGUUGGAUUUUAUCAUCAACAAGGAGUCAAUAACUUGAAAUUGUUGGAUGACAUGACAGAAAUGAGUUGAACCUACUGUAUAUAUAAGAUAUGAUGGAUCAUCAGAAAGACACGGAUGUAUUUUCCUUUGAAUAGCUUUCAAAGAAGUUUGUCUUGCAAAUGGAACACCUUCAUCUUCAUUCAGAGGCUCUCCCUCUGAUAACAAUCAGAAGACAAACAAUCAUUCGGGCAGCGGGCAGAGCCAAUAAAAACUCACGACCCUGCCCUGCCCGAGAUCCUUCCAUUCUUUGUGUGACAGCGUUGUUGAUGGUCAUGUUCAAAGUCAAAGUCAAAGUCAAAGCCAUGGUCAAAAUGAAAGGAGGAGAUUUAUAUGGCCCUUAAUGAUGUCAUGUCACCAUAGUUCCCAAAUACCCUCUGAUCCUCUCGAGCUGCUUUUAUUUUAUCAAAAAAUUAAAUUAAGAAAAGAUGCUUUUCUACCAAAAAUAAUUAGGAUUUGCUCUCGUAUAAUUGUUACUCCAUCAUGACAAACUUAUUGAUUUUCAUUUAUUUUUGGCAGUUUGAUAAGUUAUCACUGGUAUGGGGAAAGCCACAGCAGCAUCCUUUGGGGGUUGAAGAGGUAAAUUGUUUGAUUUUCUUACAAAUAGCAUUUUUUUUUUCUUAUUGCACUUUUGAAAAUCUAAUCUUGUUACCAACUUUUACUUUCAUAUUUUUCCGAUUAAGACA